GAUGAACGCUGGCGGCGUGCCUAAUACAUGCAAGUCGAGCGAACAGAUGAGGAGCUUGCUCCUCUGACGUUAGCGGCGGACGGGUGAGUAACACGUGGAUAACCUACCUAUAAGACUGGGAUAACUUCGGGAAACCGGAGCUAAUACCGGAUAAUAUAUUGAACCGCAUGGUUCAAUAGUGAAAGACGGUUUUGCUGUCACUUAUAGAUGGAUCCGCGCCGCAUUAGCUAGUUGGUAAGGUAACGGCUUAUCAAGGCAACGAUGCGUAGCCGACCUGAGAGGGUGAUCGGCCACACUGGAACUGAGACACGGACCAGACUCCUACGGGAGGCAGCAGUAGGGAAUCUUCCGCAAUGGGCGAAAGCCUGACGGAGCAACGCCGCGUGAGUGAUGAAGGUCUUCGGAUCGUAAAACUCUGUUAUUAGGGAAGAACAAAUGUGUAAGUAACUAUGCACGUCUUGACGGUACCGAAUCAGAAAGCCACGGCUAACUACGUG
rnacentral:rRNA from 1 species